CCUACGGGAGACAGCAGUGGGGAAUAUUGCACAAUGGGGGAAACCCUGAUGCAGCGACGCCGCGUGAGUGAAGAAGUAAUUCGUUAUGUAAAGCCCUAUCAGCAGGGAAGAAAAUGACGGUACCUGAGUAAGAAGCCCAGGCUAACUACGUGCCAGCAGCCGCGGUAAUACGUAGGGGGCAAGCGUUAGCCGGAUUUACUGGGUGUAAAGGGAGCGUAGACGGGAGUGCAAGUCUGGCGUGAAAGGCGGGGGCUCAACCCACGGACUGCUCUUGAAACUGUACGGCUUGAGUGCAGGAGAGGUAAGUGGAAUUCGUGGUGUAGCGGUGAAAUGCGUAGAUAUUACGAGGAACACCAGUGGCGAAGGCAGCUUACUGGACUGUAACUGACGUUGAGGCUCGAAAGCGUGGGGAGCGAACAGGAUUAGAUACCCGUGUAGUC
rnacentral:rRNA from 1 species